ACUGUAUUUUGUGUCUGUUAAUGAGCGACUGUCUUCAGGUAAAUGAUCUGGAGUGUGUUUGCAUAUUGAUCAGAUGCUUCAGUGCUCUGAGAGUGUUUAUAGUGCUGUGAGUUUAACACUUCAUCACUGACACACACAACAAUCUUCAUCAACAUGACCUUCAUCAUCAUCUUCAUCUGGACUCUCACAGCGUUUGCUCAAGAGUGUAGAGGACAGAUCACCGUCACUCAGAGUCCCUCAACGACAGCAGCUCGACCAGAAGAAACAGUCAAAAUCAGCUGUAAAACCAGCACAGAUGUGUACUUGAGUGGUUCAGUUCAUUUUUUAGCCUGGUACUUACAGAAACCUGGAGAAGCUCCUAAACUCCUGAUUUAUUAUACAAACACCCUCCAGUCAGGAACUCCAUCUAGAUUCAGUGGCAGUGGAUCUAACAGUGAUUUCACUCUGACCAUCAGUGGAGUCCAGACUGAAGAUGCUGGACAUUAUUACUGUCAGAGUGCACACUAUAUCAGUAGUAGCUGGGUGUUCACACAGUGA